GAUGAACGCUGGCGGCGUGCCUAAUACAUGCAAGUCGAGCGAACGGACGAGAAGCUUGCUUCUCUGAUGUUAGCGGCGGACGGGUGAGUAACACGUGGAUAACCUACCUAUAAGACUGGGAUAACUUCGGGAAACCGGAGCUAAUACCGGAUAAUAUUUUGAACCGCAUGGUUCAAAAGUGAAAGACGGUCUUGCUGUCACUUAUAGAUGGAUCCGCGCUGCAUUAGCUAGUUGGUAAGGUAACGGCUUACCAAGGCAACGAUGCAUAGCCGACCUGCGAGGGUGAUCGGCCACACUGGAACGGAGACACGGUCCAGACUCCUACGGGAGGCAGCAGUAGGGAAUCUUCCGCAAUGGGCGAAAGCCUGACGGAGCAACGCCGCGUGAGUGAUGAAGGUCUUCGGAUCGUAAAACUCUGUUAUUAGGGAAGAACAUAUGUGUAAGUAACUGUGCACAUCUUGACGGUACCUAAUCAGAAAGCCACGGCUAACUACGUG
rnacentral:rRNA from 1 species